AGGUGGAGCGCCGGAUCUUGGGCUGUGUCCCCAGCGCCGUGGGCUCCGGGACCUGCACCACUGGAAUCGUGCUCCUGGGGCCACGCAGCCCCCU
rnacentral:pre_miRNA from 1 species